rnacentral:rRNA from 1 species
AACGAACGCUGGCGGCGUGUUUAAGACAUGCAAGUCGCACGGUGUCAUUUUGGUAGCAAUACUUGAAUGGCAUAGUGGCGCACGGGUGAGUAACACGCGAAUUACAUGCCCGAUAGAGGGGGAUAGCCCAGGGAAACUUGGGUUAAUACCCCAUGGUCGCGCAAGAGUAAAGGUGGCAGCAAUGCUGUCGCUAUAGGGUUGGUUCGCGCCCUAUUAGGUUGUUGGCGGGGUAACGGCCCACCAAGGCGACGACGAGUACCUCGUCUGAGAGGACGAUCAGGCACACUGGAACUGAGACACGGUCCAGACACCUACGGGUGGCAGCAGUCGAGAAUAAUUCACAAUGGGGGCAACCCUGAUGGUGCAACGCCGCGUGGAGGAUGACGGUCUUCGGAUUGUAAACUCCUGUCAUCCGGGAGUAAGACCUGGGAGUUAAUAGCUCACAGGGUUGAUAGUACCGGAAGAGGAAGGGACGGCUAACUUCGUGCCAGCCGCCGCAGUAAGAC